UACGUAGGGUGCAAGCGUUAACCGGAAUUACUGGGCGUAAAGCGUGCGCAGGCGGUUUUGUAAGACAGCGGUGAAAUCCCCGGGCUUAACCUGGGAACUGCCUUUGUGACUGCAAGGCUUGAGUGCGGCAGAGGGGGAUGGAAUUCCGCGUGUAGCAGUGAAAUGCGUAGAUAUCGUCUGGAACGCCAAAGGUGAAAACAGACUGCUGGGAGGGUGCUGACGCUGAGACACGAAAGCCAGGGGAGCAAACGGG
rnacentral:rRNA from 1 species